CUGUGGGAAGCCAGCUUGCAUGUCGUGCGGACUCUCACACAGCCCUAUUCAGAGGUCUACGUGGUCAACAACUGAAGCUUCCUGACAACACCCAGCACCACCUUGCCAAGCCUGUGAAUGAAUGAUCAGCUUAAAAGUGAAUCUGCUAGUCCCAGUCAAGCCUUCAGGUAACUGUAAUCCCAGCCAACAUCUAGACUGUAACCUCAUGAGAGAACCUGAACCAGAACUACCCAGAUGGGAACCACUCAGACUGUGUCCUCUCUCUCUUACUCUCCCAGAGAAGAGAAGAACGAUCAUCA
rnacentral:lncRNA from 1 species